GGUGGCAAGAAGGGGAGGAUUGGAACAAGGUAGCAGGAUCGACAAAGGAGUGGCAGAUAUUUUUAUAUAGGACUGUCUCUUAGAACCAUAUGUUUCACAUACCCAAAAACAUAAACACCUAAAACCAACUACGAUAAUAUUUGAGUAACAACCAGCUGAUUGGAGCAUAAAUCAAAAAGAAAAGAAUAAAGGGGGAAAAGUCAGUGAGCUGCGGAGGGACCAAGUUGUAUGGUCCUUUAAAGUUCAGACGUAUAGAUUAUCUGUUGUAUUUGUUUUCCUUUGCUGUGCUAACAAAUUACCACAAAUAUAGUGGCUUAACACAGACUUACUAUCCUACAAUUCUGUAAGUCAGAAGUCUGACUCGGGUCUCAAACUGGGCUAAAAUCAAGGUGUUGGCAGGGCUGCCUUACUUUCUGGGGGCUCAAGGGAAGAAUUUGUUUCCUUUUCCAGCUUCCAGAGGCUACUUGCAUUCCUCGGCUCCUGGCUCCCUUCUUCCAUCUAAAAGCCAGCAAUGAUGAGUAACACAGCGACUCUACAAGGGGUGGGGAGGAAAAGAACUCACCUAAGUACUGAGGGAAACAGUAUCUUGACUGGAUACCUAAGAAUAAACCAACUGAACUGUACAUAAAUUCUGUGAUCCACAUCGUACACAGCAAAGGGACUCAGCCAUACAUUAUAUGUAUCCAUUCUCCCCCAGACUCCCCUCCCAUCCAGGCUGCCACGUAACAUUGAACAGAGUUUCCUGUGCUAUAUGGUUUUUUUCCUACUGCCUGGUGCUAGUUCCUCUGAAGUAGGCAGGGGAGCCCUGUGAGCCCUUUGUAAGACCAGGACCCCCAAUAUCUGGAAGACCUGUGAGCUGCUGGCCAGAACAAGAAACACCCACUGCCCCCACCCCCGCACCGCAACUUGUGAGGUGAACCUUAGGUGAUUAUCGACCGAGGUUCCACGAGCUCUCCUCCUGGUAUCAGCACAGAAUACCAGCUGCCCCAGCGGUCUGCUUAAGAUGGAAGCUGAGAUCACUGGUUUUAGAUCUUUCUUGUUUUAUUGUCUCUCUCUCUGCGCUGUCUCUGGAAGUCCUUCAGUCGAAGCAGUUCCUCUGGGAGCUCCAUACAUGUACGCUAAGAAAAGAAAAUGAACACAAGUCUACUAUAACUAAAUUUCUGAAUGUGGUCCUUAAAAUCACUUUAAAAUCACUUCUACUACACUUAGUAUUUGGCAAGCAAGGGUCUAUUCAAAUGUGUUCUUAUAGCACCCUCUAGUGUCUUCAACUAUAGUAGUACUAUUUUUCAAGUAAUUUAAAUAUUUUUAAUCCAAUUUUGUGUGUAUGUUGUGCAUGUGUGUAUGUAUAAAGAUUAUACAAUGAAAAGUAAGGGUCCAUUCCAACCUCGCCCCAACUGCCUUAGCAGGUGCAUCCUCUAAAAAGCAGCUUCUUCUUUAGCCUCCAGAGACUGUCUUUGCAUAUAUGAUCCCUUACUAAAUAUUUAUCUAUUCAUUGGAUUAUAUUUUUCAAUUUUUAUUUUCCCCCAACUUUUUAUUUUGAUAACUCUUUCUAAAAUUAUUUUAUACAAGUGGCUACAUAAUAUUAUAUAUUCUUCUUCUUCUUGAUUUUUCCAACUAAAAAUUCUGUCUUGGAGAUUUUUCUGUAUUGGCAAUUUUAAUGGCUGUAUGGAUAUACAAUAGUUUGUUUAACCAAACCCUUGUGGAUGGAUAUUUGGGUUGUCUUCAGUAUUUUGUCAUUACAUAAAUGCUACAAUAAAGAAUAUAUUAAGAAAA